rnacentral:rRNA from 1 species
GACGAACGCUGGCGGCGUGCCUAAUACAUGCAAGUCGAGCGAAGUUUUUCUGGUGCUUGCACCGGAAAAACUUAGCGGCGAACGGGUGAGUAACACGUAAAGAACCUGCCUCAUAGACUGGGACAACUAUUGGAAACGAUAGCUAAUACCGGAUAACAGCAUUAACUGCAUGGUUGAUGUUUAAAAGUUGGUUUUGCUAACACUAUGAGAUGGCUUUGCGGUGCAUUAGCUAGUUGGUGGGGUAAAGGCCUACCAAGGCGACGAUGCAUAGCCGACCUGAGAGGGUGAUCGGCCACACUGGGACUGAGACACGGCCCAGACUCCUACGGGAGGCAGCAGUAGGGAAUCUUCCGCAAUGGGCGAAAGCCUGACGGAGCAACGCCGCGUGAGUGAAGAAGGAUUUCGGUUCGUAAAGCUCUGUUGUUAGGGAAGAAUGAAUGUGUAGUAACGAUACACAGUAGAGACGGUACCUAACCAGAAAGCCACGGCUAACUACGUG